rnacentral:rRNA from 1 species
AUACGUAGGUGGCAAGCGUUGUCCGGAAUUAUUGGGCGUAAAGCGCGCGCAGGUGGUUCCUUAAGUCUGAUGUGAAAGCCCCCGGCUCAACCGGGGAGGGUCAUUGGAAACUGGGGAACUUGAGUGCAGAAGAGGAUAGUGGAAUUCCAAGUGUAGCGGUGAAAUGCGUAGAGAUUUGGAGGAACACCAGUGGCGAAGGCGACUGUCUGUUCUGUAACUGACACUGAGGCGCGAAAGCGUGGGGAGCAAACAGGAUUAGAUACCCUGGUAGUCCACGCCGUAAACGAUGAGUGCUAAGUGUUGGGGGGUUUCCGCCCCUCAGUGCUGCAGCUAACGCAUUAAGCACUCCGCCUGGGGAGUACGGUCGCAAGACUGAAACUCAAAUGAAUUGACGGGG